rnacentral:rRNA from 1 species
GUUCUGUGUUGCCAGCAUGCCCUUCGGGGUGAUGGGGACUCACAGGAGACUGCCGGGGUCAACUCGGAGGAAGGUGGGGACGACGUCAAGUCAUCAUGCCCCUUAUGUCUUGGGCUGCACACGUGCUACAAUGGCAGGUACAAUGAGCUGCGAAGCCGUGAGGCGGAGCGAAUCUCAAAAAGCCUGUCUCAGUUCGGAUUGGGGUCUGCAACUCGACCCCAUGAAGUCGGAGUUGCUAGUAAUCGCAGAUCAGCAUUGCUGCGGUGAAUACGUUCCCGGGCCUUGUACACACCGCCCGUCACGUCACGAAAGUCGGUAACACCCGAAGCCGGUGGCCCAACCCGUAAGGGAGGGAGCUGUCGAAGGUGGGACUGGCGAUUGGGACGAAGUCGUAACAAGGUAGCCGUACCGGAAGGUGCGGCUGGAUCACCUCCUUUCU